UUUCCCUCAGGAUAGCUGGUGCUCUCCCAAAACCCAACCCACGCAGUUUUAUCUGGUAAAGUGAAUGAGUAGAGAUCCUGGGGCCUAAAUGAUCUCCACCUAUUCUCAAACUUUAAAUGGGUAAGAUUAUUAUUUUAAUUUUUGUCUUUUUGAAAUGGAGACUCGCUCUGUCUCCCAGUCUGGAGUGCAAUGGCGUGAUCUUGGCUCCC
rnacentral:ncRNA from 1 species